rnacentral:lncRNA from 1 species
AUAUUUUUCUCUCUAUUGUUGAGAGAAAAAUUUUCUCGUGCUAGUUGCUUUGGUAGUGAUAAAGGCGCCCACACGUCAAGUGCAGAUCAAACCUGAGUCAUAACCUGGAAGAUCAUUGGUGACAGUUCGUGAUCUAACAAGCGUGGUGGUGACGGAUCGUGAUCUAACAGACGUAGUGGUGACGGAUCGUGAUCUAGAAGCCUAAAUCACUUCAGCGGAAAAAUUUAAAUCGGAUUUUCAAGGUACGAUUUCUAGAUUACAUAUUCUUAUAUAUUAUAUGAGAACGAUCUUAAAAAGGUUUUAUAAAAAAUUUAAAAAACUGAUAUUUCCCCAACAAUUGGUAUCAGAGCCAUCUCGUAUUAAUAUAUGAAUAAAGCGUGUUUAUGAUUUGUAUUAAUUCAUGGUUAGAGGGGUGGUUUUUUAUCAGCAUGUUUUUCUCUUGAUUUAGUUUACUGUUAUAAAAAUUUUGAAAGCCAAAAUUGGCGUAGAAAAUUUGUAAAUCACUGAAGAAUAAACACUGGAAAACGAACUCAAAGAAUCGAGGCUGGAUUUUUCAGCGGCGGCCACCAACCAGCAACACAGCAGCGCACAGCAGCCAGCGCGCGCGGGAAGCGUGCCUUGUGCCUGCAACGAGUGCUGGCACAGGCUGCUCAUGCAGCAAACAGCGCGCGUGGCCAGCGUGGCCAGCAGCGCGCGCGAGUUUGGUGCAUUUUUGGCGACGCGACGAUCGAUGGUUCGGUGUUAGAGAUGCGUCGGAGGUCGGCUGGCGUCUGAACAGUGGCAGAGGUUUUUGGAGAUGGUGGCUGGGGAAGAAGGGUAAGAAAAAUAUGGAUUUUAGGGUUUUAUGGUUUUUAUCAUUGAGGUCCCUAGAGUUCCAUAAUUAUUUCCUUUGAGCAGUCAAGUUUUAAUUUUUUGCAUUUAAGUCUAAAAACAGUUUUGGGCUUAAAGAAUCCUAGUUUUAGGCUCAAUUGAAAUUUGGGUUUAAUGGAUUAAAAUGCAUAGAUAAAAUUGAACACAUUAAAUCUAUUUUUGGUCCAAAAGUUUUAUUUUAAUAAAAAAAAUUUAAUUAUUUCCUUUCAAAAUUAAAAUUGGACCAAUUAUAAAUUUAAAAGCCUAAUUUCCUCUAGUCCAUUAACAAAGACAAGCUUAUGGAAGAUGAACAUUUACAAGAAGCCCAAUGAAGAUUAGGCUUAUGGUUAAUGUAUUUUUCAUUAUUAGGAAAGCCAUGAAUUAAGAUUAUUUAAUUAUUUUUCUAUAUGUUAUGUUUUGGAUAUUAACAUGUCAUGUAGAAUAGGUAGUGCCACUAUGCAUAAUGAUACAUGUCAUUCUUUAAUAAUAAAUCUCAUUAUAUUGUUUGUGAUUUGUCUAUGCUUAAUAAUAUUGGAUAUCAUCUAGAUAAUAUUAUAGGAAGCAUGCAAUUAACAAUAUGUAUGUUUUAAAAAGGAAAAAUCAAUUUUAAAAUAUUGAGUGGGAGAGGGAAAAUUCAAGAUAAUUUUUCCCACGGGCUUCAUUUUACUUCAAUAAUAAAAUUAUAUAUAUACCUCGACUUCAUGAUACGGUGAUGCUCCCUACAGAGGGUAUAUAUAUUAGAUAUUUUAUUUGUUGAAUUUCUUCAAAGAUAAAAUUAAAAUAUUUUUCAAUCGAUUGUUCGCCCUCACGGUGACUAUUGAUAUGAAAAAUACGUAGAUUGAAACAAUGGUUAUACACUCAACUGAAAUUUGUUAUUAACCUUCCCAACGAAGCUCUGUUAACAAAUUUAGGCCCAAAGGGAUAACGAUAAUUAUUUAUCAUGUCUCGACAUGAAAGUAAAUAAUUCAUUGGAUAAUUGGGUCUAGUAAGUGUAGACAUGACUUCCCCAACGGAUAGCUUGUCAAAGCGGUACUAGAUUAUCGUUACAAUAAAUUAAAAUACAUUUAUGAGUUUUUUUUUGCAUUUUUGUCAUUUAUUGUGAAUAUUGUUUCAAAGUAUUUAUGCAUGUUUAUUUUGUUUUUCCAGAAAAUGUCUUCCAUCAACCCAUUAUUAAUUAUCCUUGUUAAAAAUGAACUCACUGGCGAAAAUUAUUUAGAUUGGAAACGCAAUCUAUUUAAUAUUCUCACUGCUAAGGGCUGCAAAUAUGUGUUGACCUAGCCUUGUCCUCCUGAACCAUCAUUAUACGAUUAUAGAAAUCAGAGGGAGCCUUAUGAGAAAUCGUGUGAAGCUAACAAAAUGGCUAAGCACUAUAUAUUGGAUUCGAUUUCUGUGGAACUACAUAAGAAACAUCGGAGCAUGGAAACAACCACUGAAAUAAUGGCUAGUCUUCAUCAGAUGUUUGGGCAAAGUACUCAUUUUGCUAGAGAAGCAGCAUUAAAACGUAUUACAGAUACUAAGAUGGAAGAGAGCACAAAAGUUCGUGAUCAUGUCCUCAAAAUGAUGGACUAUUUGAAUGAGGUAGAGAUUCAUGGUGCUCAAAACAAUGAUAAAUCAAAAAUUAAUAUGGUGAUUGAAUCUUUACCUAAUACAUUCAAAGAGUUUAAGGUCAGUUAUAUCUUAAACAAUAAAGAUAUGAACUUAAUUGAAUUAAUGCACGAACUACAUGCUAUAGAAGAAUUUUAUCAUAGCAGAAAACUUCCUGAAAAAGGAUUCUCUUCAAGGCUUAAGUCGAAAGACAAGAAUGAGCAAGCAAGAGUUAGGAUCAGCAAACUAUCCACUAAAAGAAGUGGCAAAAGGCAAGUGUUACAAAUGUGGACAGAAGGGUCACUCGAAGAAAGAUUGUCCUAAGAUUAUUAAAAUCAGGAAACCAAGAGAUUAAGUGAAGAAAGCUUCAAACAACAGUUGAGGACAUGCUAGUUUAUAUCAAUUGAAAGGCUAGAUCAAUUUUACAAGACUUAAAAGUUUUGAUAUUUGUCUUUAUUUUUCCAAAUACUAGAGGAAUUUAAUUUCGGUGACUUGUUUUAAUAAACAGGAGUACACUGUUAUUUUUUGAUCCACUGUCAUUUAUUUAUUUUAGUUAUUUAUAAAGACAAUUAAUAUCAUAUAAAUCCAUUGAUCUAUUCAAAGCAAGAUAUAAUGAUAAAGAGUAUAUGCAUUUAUCUAAGAAAAGAAAUGUUUCUUCAAACCAAAAUCACCUCUGAUAUUUAGGCUUAAGUCAUAUAAACUAUAAUAAGAUUUUAAGAAAAUGAUUAAUGAUAGACUUGUUGGCCUAUUAAGAUUGAUCAUUGUAGCUCUAUAAAUCUUAUUUAGAAAAGUAAUAUGACGAGAAUGCUCAUUUAGAGCUAAAAGCAUAACAUUGUAUUUAAUGAUUUAGCGCAUACAAAUAUAUAUGGACUAAUCAGUUUACAUGUUAUAAGAGGUUAUGAGUAUUCUAUCAAUCUUGUUGAUGAAUAUUCAUUUUACUUAUGUUUGUCUAAAUGCGUCAUGAUUCCAUUGCUUUUGAAAUUCAAAAGAGUACAUGGAUAAGACAAAAGCAAUUAGACAGGAACAUAAAAGAACUUCGAUAUGAUCGAAACAAAGAAUAUCUCUAUGGAGAAUUCAAGCACUAUUUGGUUGUCAAUGAACACUAGAGAAACAAGAUUCUUUUGGAUAAAACAAGAUAUAUACUAAGUGGUUUAUCAUUUACCUUUUUUAUUCCAGAUACUAAUAUUUAAAACUACAAAGUUUAUUGAACUUAGUUUCAUCUAUCUCGGUAUCUACUACUCCAAGAAAUUAUGAAAAAGUCACAAACUUGGUUUGAGACACAUUCGUAUUUGGAGUUUACUAGUAUUUCUACUAGAAUCAGAGGUAGAAAAGAUGGAUUUGUGUUCAGAAGCUUGCAUGUUUAAGGUAUCGUAAUGGAAUAAGGGAAAGUCUGAAUUAUAGUCCUCAAGAUAGGAAUGUAUUUGUGGACAUAUUAUUUACUUUCUUUGAGGAAGACUAUAUUAUGACUUCUUACCUAAGAGUAAGGUAAAACUAGAGAAAUAAAAAAGGUGAUCAAGUUGAUACUCAGCUUUCAAUGCCUGUUACAAAACAGGAAGAACAGCGACAACCAGAUGAUCAACACAGGAUUAUCCCUGAACAACCAUCACUUUUAGAACCUCGUCGUAGUGGGAGGAUAACUAAGUUACCUGCGAGAUAUAUGCUUUUGGGAGAAACCUAUACGGCUAUCUCAGAUGAACAUGUACAAGAUCUCACUAAUUACAACAAAGCUCUAAUAGAUAUAGAUGUUGAAUUUUGGAAAAAGACCAUCAAUCAAGAAAUGGAAUCUAUGUAUUCCUAUAAAGUCUGGGAACUUGUAGAGGCACCAAAUGGGAUAAAACCUAUAGGGUGCAAGUGGAUCUACAAGAGAAAAAGAGGAGUAAACGGAAGGGUGGAAACAUUUAAAGCAAGAUUAGUAACCAAAGGGUUUUACUUAGAAAGAGAAAUCGAUUAUGAGGAAACCUUUUCUCCGGUUUCUAUGCUUAAAUCCAUCAGGAUUCUGCUCUCCAUUGCUGUAGUGCUAGAUUAUGAAAUUUGGCAAAUGGAUGUCAAGACUGCCUUUCUUAACGGGCAUCUUAAAGAAAACAUCUACAUGCAGCAACUAGAUGGAUUUAUACAAAAAAGACCAAGAACACAUGGUUUAUAAGUUGCAGAGAUCCAUUUUUGGAUUGAAGCAAGCAUCCCGGUUAUGGAACAUCAGAUUUGAUCAACCGAUUAAAUCGUUUGGAUUCAUUCAGAACAUUGAUGAACCAUGUGUGUACAAGACAAUUCAAGAAAAAUCUGUAGCCUUCCUAAUUCUUUAUGUAGACGAUAUUCUCCUAAUUGGAAACGAUAUAGGAGUAUUGACUACAAUAAAAUUACUACGAGACCAGAAUAAUAAAACUUUAGCCUUGUCUCAAGCAGUCUAUAUCGAUAAGAUAUUGGCUAGAUUUAGCAUGGAAAAUUCCAAGACUGGUUUAUUACCAUUCAGACAUGGAAUUACAUUCUCUAAGGGUCAAUCUCCUAAAACAUCUGAAGAGAUAGAGAGAAUGAGAUGAGUUCCCUAUGCAGAAGCUGUGGGAAGUCUCAUGUAUGUCAUGCUUUACACUAGGCCAGACAUCUGCUUUGCGGUAGAGAUGGUUAAUAGAUAUCAAUCUAAUCCUGGACCUAAACACUGGACUGCGGUCAAGCAUAUAAUGAAGUAUCUGAAAAGAACUAAAAAUUAUAUGCUUGUGUAUUCUGGUGAUGAACUCAUUCUAGUGGGUUAUACUAAUUCUGACUUUAUGUCAAAUAAGGAUUCCAGAAAAUUAACUUCCGGCUAUGUGUUUACAUUGGGAAGUGGAGCUAUUAGUUGGAGGAGUGUGAAACAAUCUUGUAUCGCAGACUCCACAACUGAAUCUAAAUAUGUGGUUGUAUCCGAAGCUGCAAAAAAAGUUGUAUGGCUACGCAAGUUCCUACAAGAUCUUGAGGUGGUACUUGCUGUAACUGCACCCCUUAAACUAUUUUGCGAUAAUAGUGGUGCGGUAGCUCAAUCUAAGGAACCACAAGAAACAAAAACAUAUUGAGAGGAAGUAUCAUCUUAUAAGGGAAUAGUGUAGAAAUGUUAUAUGACAGUACCCCAGAUGGGAUUAGAUGCUAAAUGGCAGAUCUUAUUACAAUGGCCAUUAGUGGAAAACCUUUAUAACCUGCACUUAGAGCCCUAGAGCAUGUGCAAUAUGCCAAAUAUGCUUUAAGAGCUAUUCGGAGAUUGUUGGGAAAAUAUGCUCUUUAAAAGCAUAUGUGUUUAUUUAAUUGUAAUAAAUAAUUUUUCUGAUUAAUAAAAUAAAUGCGGUAUUUUAUUCAAAUAUCUUAAUUGCAUUAAUAUUUUUAUUAAAGUCCAUUUAAUCAUAUUAUAUGUAUUUAUGUAAUCACCAUGUGGAUUCACAUAAGACAUAAAUACAAGUUAUCUUAUGAUUAAAUAAAUUUAGUUCGCAAUUGAUAAAUAAAGUUGGGCACUUUAUUUAGGUAUAGACUGUAAUAAAUUAAUUGAAUAAUUUGUCUUAAUCAUGUAUGAAUUUAUUAAUGUAGUACGACUACAUUGAACAAGAUCACAUUUGAGAUUUAAUUAACUUUGUAAUAACUGUCAGACUUAUUAAAUCUCAUAGGCAUUGAUUUUACUGUAAUCUUAAUCUUGAGUUAAUUAUGAUUUCAUUAUUGUAAUUGUUAUUCCAUUUGAGUUACCAAUGGGCACGACACAUACUUGUUGUCAAGAUUACUCGGUAUCUUGGUGGGAGCAAUUAUAAGUAUUGGAGUUAUGGAUUAACAAUAUAGAAUUUGUACAACACAUCUCUUGAUGGGUUUUCGGCACUUGAUCAUAGAAUUCUCUGGCCAGAGUGUGUCAACAUAUUUAGUAUGUUAAAAAUGAUCAUUAGAGAAAACCAAUAAGUAUCAAGGAACAAGAUGUAAUUAAAUUGAUUGGACUGUUGAGAUAUCGAUUUAAUUAAUGAUGUGGUACAAAAGAUUGUGCAGUAAAAAAAUCAAUGUGGCUUGGGACGAAUUAUUAUUCGAGCAUACAAUUAUGGAAGUCAGUUCCAAUCUUUUAGUGGAGUAGAUUUGGAAUUAAAUAAUUGGGCUAGUUUAAUUAUAGGCCUAAUUAUUGUAGCCACUAUUGUAUGUUCCCAAAUGAUCCUCAGGUUAGCUCAUUUAAUUGAGUGCACCACUACUGGAUUAAUAAGCAAGAUAACUAGCUAUUUGGGUCAAAAGUCCAAAUAUAUCAUUUAGUGGGCGGCUCCAUUUAAUUAGCUUGUGUGUAAGGGGCCUAAUAUUAUUUUACAAGGUGGGUCCCCUAUAGAAAAAGCAAGUAACGUGAGUUUUGUUUUUGAUUAUUUGGAGCCUAGGAUUUUCACUAAAGCGAGAUAUAAAAAGCUUAUUUUCUCUAAAGAAAAGAGAUAGCAGCCACUUUAUACAGAUCAGAGAAAAAGAUUUUUCUCUCUAUUGUUGAGAGAAAAAUUUUCUCGUGCUAGUUGCUUUGGUAGUGAUAAAGGCGCCCACACGUCAAGUGCAGAUCAAACCUGAGUCAUAACCUGGAAGAUCAUUGGUGACAGUUCGUGAUCUAACAAGCGUGGUGGUGACGGAUCGUGAUCUAACAGACGUGGUGGUGACGGAUCGUGAUCUAGGAGCCUAAAUCACUUCAGCGGAAAAAUCUAAAUCGGAUUUUUAAGGUACGAUUUUUAGAUUACGUAUUCUUAU